AGGGAUGUAGUUAAAUGGUAUAACUCCGGUCUCCAAAACCGUUGUUGCGGGUUCGAUUCCUGCCAUCCCUGCCA
rnacentral:tRNA from 1 species